AGUGAACGCUGGCGAUAGGCCUAACACAUGCAGGUCGAACGGCAGCACAGUAAGAGCUUGCUCUUACGGGUGGCGAGUGGCGGACGGGUGAGGAAUACAUCGGAAUCUACUUUUUCGUGGGGGAUAACGUAGGGAAACUUACGCUAAUACCGCAUACGACCUACGGGUGAAAGCAGGGGAUCUUCGGACCUUGCGCGAUUGAAUGAGCCGAUGUCGGAUUAGCUAGUUGGCGGGGUAAAGGCCCACCAAGGCGACGAUCCGUAGCUGGUCUGAGAGGAUGAUCAGCCACACUGGAACUGAGACACGGUCCAGACUCCUACGGGAGGCAGCAGUGGGGAAUAUUGGACAAUGGGCGCAAGCCUGAUCCAGCCAUACCGCGUGGGUGAAGAAGGCCUUCGGGUUGUAAAGCCCUUUUGUUGGGAAAGAAAAGCAGCAGGUUAAUACCCCGCUGUUCUGACGGUACCCAAAGAAUAAGCACCGGCUAACUUCGUG
rnacentral:rRNA from 1 species